ACAUGUCACUUCCUUUCACUUGUCAUGACUUUUUUUUGUCUCAGUGUUGUUAGUUGUUAAGCUGUGAUCCAUCAUACACCGACUAAGUGCAGAAUAUCACCAUGGUGAUAAUGUUUGCAGUAUUCCUUGUCCUGUUAACAGGUCUUGUACAAAGUCAUAAAGUUGAGCAGUCUCCUCCAGACCUGAUGAGGAAGCUCACAGAAUCUGCUGUUCUCAAUUGCUCACAUUCAGUCCAGGGCUUUGAUCUCAUUCUCUGGUAUAAACAAUCUGAUGAGGGGAAAUUAGUUUUUCUUGGUUAUCUCAAUAUGAAUUUUCCAUAUCCUGAAGAGGAGAUUAAAAACAAAAUUGGCUUGGAUGGAGAUGGCACAAGUCAUUCCACACUAACAAUCAAGAAUCUGACACCAGUCGACAGCGCAGUCUAUUUCUGUGCAGCACGGAGUCACAGUGUGUCAAAUUCCCACAACACAGCGCAAAAACCAUCUUUAUCACAUCAUAAUAUCUUUAGUGUGCACUAAAACAGGUGAUAGCGUUCGUUCACCUGCUACAAACCACUAAACCUGUUUCUAUGACUGUGGCAGGCAACCCUACUAA